rnacentral:lncRNA from 1 species
GAGUUGUUUACUGCGCAGGCACAUUUGGCGCACCGCUCCUUCUUUUUCCUCUGUAAUGAAUACGCUAUUGUCCAGUUGGAAUAUUAUCGACGUUUUAUGUUAAGAUGACCCUAAGGAUUGAUUGUAAACAACGUUUGACAUGUUUCUACGAACGGUAAUGGAACUAUUUGACUUUUCGUGUCUGGAUUUACGCUCACGCGUUAUGCCUUUGGAUAGUGAUCUGAACGCACAAACAAAUUGGAGGUAUUUGGACAUAAAUAUGGAGUAUUUCGAACAAAAAUAACAUUUCUUGUGGAAGUAGGAGUCCUGGGAGUGCAUUCUGACAAAGAUGAGCAAAGGACCUGAGCCCUAGGACCAUGCCUCAGGACUACCUGGCAUGAUGACUCCUUGCUGUCCCCAGUCCACCUGGCCGUGCUGCUGCUCCAGUUUCAACUGUUCUGCCUGCGGCUAUGGAACCCUGACCUGUUCACCGGACGUGCUACCUGUCCCAGACCUGCUGUUUUCAACUCUCUAGAGACAGCAGGAGCGGUAGAGAUACUCUCAAUGAUCUGCUAUGAAAAGCCAACUGACAUUUACUCUUGAGGUGCUGACUUGUUGCACCCUCGACAACUACUGUGAUUAUUAUUAUUUGACCAUGCUGGUCAUUUAUGAACAUUUGAACAUCUUGGCCAUGUUCUGUUAUAAUCUCCACCCGGCACAGCCAAAAGAGGACUGGCCACCCCUCAUAGCAUGGUUCCUCUCUAGGUUUCUUCCUAGGUUUUGGCCUUUCUAGGGAGAUUUUCCUAGCCACCGUGCUUCUACACCUGUAUUGCUUGCUGUUUGGGGUUUUAGGCUGGGUUUCUGUACAGCACUUUGAGAUAUUAGCUGGUGUAAGAAGGGCUAUAUAAAUAAAUUUGAUUUGACAUCAGAGAUUUAACAUUCUCUGUUUCACGGAAACUUGGCUCACUCGGGAUACGUUAUCAGAGUCGGUACAGUCACCCGGUUUCUUCACGCAUCGUGCCGACAGAAACAAACAUCUCUCUGGUAAGAAAAAGGGCUGGGAUGUAUGCCUUACGAUUAACGAGUCGUGGUGUGAUCAUAACAACAUUCACGAACACAAGUCCUUUUUUUCACCUGACCUAGAAUUCCUUAUAAUCAAAUGCUGACCGCAUUAUCUACCAAGAGAAUACCCUUCGAUUAUAAUCACAGCCGUGUAUAUCCCCCCCCCCCCAAGUAGACACCUCGACGGCCCUGACGGAACAUCACUGGACUCUGUGUAAACUGGAAACCACAUAUGCUGAGGCUGCAUUUAUUGUAGAUGGGGAUUUUAACAAAGCUAAUCUGAAAACAAGGCUCCCUAAAUUUUAUCAGCAUAUCGAAUGCGCGACCCGGGCUGGCAGCAUUGUGGAUCAUUGCUACUCUAACUUCCGCGACGCAUACAAAGCCCUCCCUCGCCUUCCUUUCAGCAAAUCUGACGACGACUCCAUUUUGUUGCUCCCAGCCUAUAGACAGAAACUAAAACAGGAAACACCCGUGCUCAGGUCUGUUCAACGCUGGUCCGACCAAUCUUAUUCCACGCUUCAAGAUUGCUUCGAUCACGUGGACUGGGAUAUGUUCCGGAUAGCCUGAGACAACAACAUUGAUGUAUCCGCUGAUUCGGUGAGUGAGUUUAUUAGCAAGUGCAUCAGUAAUGUUGUACCCACGGUGACUAUUAAAACCUUCCCCAACCAGAAACCAUUGAUUGAUGGUAGCAUUCGCGCAAAACUGAAAGCGUGAACCAUUGCUUUUAAUCAUGGCAAGCAGCCCAGAAACAUGACCAAAUACAAACAGUGUAGCUAUUCCCUCCGCAAGGCAAUCAAACAAGCUAAGCGUCAGUAUAGAGACAAGGUACAGCCGCAUGUCAACGGCUGAGACACGAGACGUAUGUGGCAGGGUAUACAGUCAAUCACGGAUUACAAAAAUAAAACCAGCGUCGCGGACACCGACAUAUUGCUCCCAGACAAACUAAACAACUUCUUUGCUCACUUUGAGGACAAUACAUUGCCAUUGACACAGCCCGCUACCAAAACCUGCAGGCUCUCCUUCACCGCAGCCAACGUGAGUAAAACAUUUAAACGUGUUAACCCUCGCAAGGCUGCCUACCCAGACAGCAUCCCUAGCCGCGUCCUCAGAGCAUGCGCAGACCAGCUAGCUAGUGUGUUUACGGACAUAUUCAAUCAAUCCCUAUCCCUGUCUGCUGUUCCCACAAGCUUCAAGAGGGCCACCAUUAUUACUGUUCCCAAGAAAGCUGAAAUAACUGAGCUAAACGACUAUUGCCCCGUAGCACUCACUUCCGUCAUCAUGAAGUGCUUCGAGAGACUAGUCAAGGAUCAUAUCACCUCCACCAUACCUGACACCCUAGACCCACUCCAACUUGCUUACCGUCCCAAUAGGUCCACAGACGACACAAUCGCAAUCACACUGCACACUGCCCUAACCCAUCUGGACAAGAGGAAUACCUAUGUAAGAACGCUGUUCAUCAAUUACAGCUCAGCAUUUAACACCAUAGUCCACCAUAGUACCCUCCAAACGCAACAGCGCCUCUUCAACCUCAGGAGGCUGAGGAAAUUUGGCUUGUCACCGAAAACACUCACAAAUUUUACAGAUGCACAAUCAAGAGCAUCCUGUCGGGCUGUAUCACCGCCUGGUACGGCAACUGCUCUGCCCACAACCGUAAGGCUCUCCAGAGGGUAGUGUGGUCUGCACAACGCAUCACCGGGGGAGAAACUACCUGUUCUCUAGGAAGACCUACACCACCCGAUGUCACAGGAAGGCCAAAAAGAUCAUCAAGGACAACAACCACCCAAACCACUGUCUGUUCACCCCGCUGUCAUCCAGAAGGCGAGCUCAGUUUGGGACCCUUAAUCCAGGCUGGACAGGAGGAAGUCAACCUGCAUUUCUAGAUUCACCAUCACCUGCCACGAGAGCCUCUGUGGGCUUUCAUAGAUGGACUCAUCAAGGUUGAAGAUGGAGUCCAACCACGCCUUCAUCUGAUCCUGACGACAACAGACACAUCAACUAUUAUUUAAUGACCAACUACAAAGAUAAGGAUGAACAAACCAUCACACACAGUUCAGGAUAGAGAGAGAGAGAGAGAGAGAGAAAUGCACCUUAAUGAGGAGGUAGAAGUUCCCAGCAGACUCUGUCCAGGCUCCUCCAGGAGGGCGAAUCCUCAUGAUCACUUCCAUGAGCAGAUAAAAGAAGGUACCAGGCCUCUGGAGAAGGAACAGGGGACAUAAGUGGGUGUCUACAGACCUGGUAUGGCUACAGUGUGGAUAGGGUAGAUAAACAACAGGAUGUUUACAUUAUUAGGGCCACUUACAGAUGUUGGAAGAGAUGUUUUUCCUUCUAGAAGGCUUAGUAGAACGAAUUCAUAAAAUACAUCCGUGAAGUUGAUGUGGUUGAUCUGAAGUCGAACAAAUAAGAUAAUUACAUCAUUUUCAUUGACAAGCACUUUAGAAAGUCUCAUUGAGUAGAUGUUGGAUGAGCAGACGGUGCCUGCAGCUAACGCUCAAGCUUGUAUGUAAACCUACUCCUACAAGAGCCAUCUCCAGCUCUAGUCGCUCCCUGUUUGCUGGCUCAUUAAUGAAGUUCACCAGGAUGUCAUAGGCCUGCUGAAACUGCCUCACAUCCUCAAAACAAAACAACCAUAAAAUUCCUUAGAACGUGGAUCAUAAACUCAAAGAUUCAGGUCUGUAAUUCUGACUGUUUGGCUUGUAAGACAUUGGAACUUUUCAACUAAACCUUACGAAUCACUAUUGCCUAAAUGUAA